rnacentral:rRNA from 1 species
UACGUAGGGUGCAAGCGUUAUCCGGAUUCACUGGGUUUAAAGGGUGCGUAGGUGGGCUGGUAAGUCAGUGGUGAAAUCUCCGAGCUUAACUCGGAAACUGCCGUUGAUACUAUUUGUCUUGAAUAUUGUGGAGGUAAGCGGAAUAUGUCAUGUAGCGGUGAAAUGCUUAGAUAUGACAUAGAACACCAAUUGCGAAGGCAGCUUACUACACAACGAUUGACGCUGAGGCACGAAAGCGUGGGGAUCAAACAGG